UCUUGGUCAUUUAGAGGAAGUAAAAGUCGUAACAAGGUUUCCGUAGGUGAACCUGCGGAAGGAUCAUUACCUAGAGUUUGUAGACUUCGGUCUGCUACCUCUUACCCAUGUCUUUUGAGUACCUUCGUUUCCUCGGCGGGUCCGCCCGCCGAUUGGACAACAUUCAAACCCUUUGCAGUUGCAAUCAGCGUCUGAAAAAACAUAAUAGUUACAACUUUCAACAACGGAUCUCUUGGUUCUGGCAUCGAUGAAGAACGCAGCGAAAUGCGAUAAGUAGUGUGAAUUGCAGAAUUCAGUGAAUCAUCGAAUCUUUGAACGCACAUUGCGCCCCUUGGUAUUCCAUGGGGCAUGCCUGUUCGAGCGUCAUUUGUACCUUCAAGCUCUGCUUGGUGUUGGGUGUUUGUCUCGCCUCUGCGUGUAGACUCGCCUUAAAACAAUUGGCAGCCGGCGUAUUGAUUUCGGAGCGCAGUACAUCUCGCGCUUUGCACUCACAACGACGACGUCCAAAAGUACAUUUUUACACUCUUGACCUCGGAUCAGGUAGGGAUACCCGCUGAACUUAAGCAUAUCAAUAAGCGGAGGAAAAGAAACCAACAGGGAUUGCCCUAGUAACGGCGAGUGAAGCGGCAACAGCUCAAAUUUGAAAUCUGGCGUCUUUGGCGUCCGAGUUGUAAUUUGCAGAGGGCGCUUUGGCAUUGGCAGCGGUCCAAGUUCCUUGGAACAGGACGUCACAGAGGGUGAGAAUCCCGUACGUGGUCGCUAGCCUUUACCGUGUAAAGCCCCUUCGACGAGUCGAGUUGUUUGGGAAUGCAGCUCUAAAUGGGAGGUAAAUUUCUUCUAAAGCUAAAUACUGGCCAGAGACCGAUAGCGCACAAGUAGAGUGAUCGAAAGAUGAAAAGCACUUUGGAAAGAGAGUUAAAAAGCACGUGAAAUUGUUGAAAGGGAAGCGCUUGCAGCCAGACUUGCCUGUAGUUGCUCAUCCGGGUUUUUACCCGGUGCACUCUUCUACGGGCAGGCCAGCAUCAGUUUGGGCGGUUGGAUAAAGGUCUCUGUCAUGUACCUCCUCUCGGGGAGAUCUUAUAGGGGAGACGACAUGCAACCAGCCUGGACUGAGGUCCGCGCAUCUGCUAGGAUGCUGGCGUAAUGGCUGUAAGCGGCCCGUCUUGAANCCACGGACC
rnacentral:rRNA from 1 species